UACGUAGGGUGCGAGCGUUGUCCGGAAUUAUUGGGCGUAAAGAGCUUGUAGGCGGUUUGUCGCGUCUGCCGUGAAAAUCCGGGGCUCAACCCCGGACUUGCGGUGGGUACGGGCAGACUAGAGUGUGGUAGGGGAGACUGGAAUUCCUGGUGUAGCGGUGAAAUGCGUAGAUAUCUGGAGGAACACCGGUGGCGAAGGCGGCAUUCUGGACCGACAUUGACGCUGAGGAGCGAAAGCCAGGGGAGCAAACGGG
rnacentral:rRNA from 1 species